UAGCCAAAUGGCAAAAAACGGAACCCUUAUGGAUUCAUCAUGUCUGUCUGUCCGUCCGUAUGUCACAGCCAUUUUUUUCCGAAACUAUAAGAACUAUACUGUUUGAAACUUGGUAUUUAAGUAGAUGUAUUCUGUGAACCGCAUUAAGAUUUUCACACAAAAAUAGAAAAAAAAAACAAUAAAUUUUGGGGGUUCCCCAUACUGGAGGGGAAAAGAAACUCAAUUUUUUUUUCAUCAAACCCAUACGUGUGGGCUAUCUAUGGAUAGGUCUUCAAAAAUGAAUAGUUUGCGCGAGAGACACUUCCAAAGUGGUAAAAUGUGUCGUGUCCCCCCUCGAACUUCUAAAAUAAGAGAAUGAUAAAACUAAAAAAAAUAUAUGAUGUACAUUACCAUGCAGACGUCCACCGAAAAUUGGUUUGAACGAGAUCUAGUAAGUAGUUUUUUUUAAUACGUCAUAAAUCAACUGAAACUUUUUUUUCAUCAAACCCAUACGUGUGGUGUAUAUAUGGAUAGGUCUUCUAAAAUGAUAUUGAGGUUUCUAAUAUCAUUUUUUUUCUAAGCUGAAUAGUUUGCGCGAGAGACACUUCCAAAGUGGUAAAAUGUGUGUCCCCCCCCCCUGUAACUUCUAAAAUAAGAGAAUGAUAAAACUAAAAAAAAUAUAUGAUGUACAUUA